rnacentral:rRNA from 1 species
GACGAACGCUGGCGGCGUGCUUAACACAUGCAAGUCGAACGCUGAAGCUCAGCUUUUGUUGGGUGGAUGAGUGGCGAACGGGUGAGUAACACGUGAGUAACCUGCCUCCUUCUUUGGGAUAACGCCCGGAAACGGGUGCUAAUACUGGAUAUUCACUGGUCUUCGCAUGGGGGUUGGUGGAAAGGGUUUUUCUGGUGGGGGAUGGGCUCGCGGCCUAUCAGCUUGUUGGUGGGGUGAUGGCCUACCAAGGCUUUGACGGGUAGCCGGCCUGAGAGGGUGACCGGUCACAUUGGGACUGAGAUACGGCCCAGACUCCUACGGGAGGCAGCAGUGGGGAAUAAUGCACAAUGGGCGCAAGCCUGAUGCAGCGACGCCGCGUGAGGGAUGGAGGCCUUCGGGUUGUGAACCUCUUUCGCUCAUGGUCAAGCCGCAACAAUGGUUGUGGUGAGGGUAGUGGGUAAAGAAGCGCCGGCUAACUACGUG